UAUUGCACAAUGGGGGAAACCCUGAUGCAGCAACGCCGCGUGAGUGAUGACGGCCUUCGGGUUGUAAAGCUCUUUGAUUGGGGAGGAAUAAAUGACGGUACCCAAAGAACAAGCACCGGCUAACUACGCGCCAGCAGCCGCGGUAAUACGUAGGGGGCGAGCGUUGUCCGGAAUGACUGGGCGUAAAGGGUGUGUAGGCGGUUUAUUAAGUUAGAAGUGAAAUACCUAGGGCUUAACCCAGGUGCUGCUUCUAAAACUGAUAGACUUGAGUGCAGUUGAGGAAAGUGGAAUUCCUAGUGUAGCGGUGGAAUGCGUAGAUAUUAGGAGGAACAUCAGUGGCGAAGGCGACUUUCUGGACUGUAACUGACGCUGAGGCACGAAAGUGUGGGGAGCAAACAGG
rnacentral:rRNA from 1 species